GCGUGAAACGGGGCUUUCUCUGCAUCCACAAACCUUUAAAAUCUCCAUCAAGAACAAAGCAACCAGUCAUCUCUGGUUAUCCAAUCAGAUCUCG